GAAUGAUCAAAUGGUCGAAAAUCCGGUCCGGCGUUCGGGUUCGGGCGGGGGGUGGUUUGUAACAGCCAAACCGCCAACAGCUGAGACGUGACGUGUAUGUGAUCCACUGACAGAAUGUUAGGUUAGAACCAGUGAUUUAUACAGGGAUAUCAAGUUAACAUUUUAUUACUUUUUUAAACAGAAAUUCAGUUAAUUGUGGGUAGUAAAUUCAUAACGUAAUGCAGAACAGGAACAUAACCCCUUAACAAAUAGUUUUUCACGACGACUUUAUGUAUUAUUCAUGCAGAAGGUGUAACGGAACGAGGAUUAAAGGUUAAUAAAUAUAUGUAUAUUCGAGUUUUUGCAAAAAGAUAUCUCAGAAGCACAGAAACAAAAUAUCAAGCAUCAGGAAAAGUUGAAGAGAACGGUGUAUUCAUAUUAAGGAAGGGACAACAUAAUCAUGAACACUUGAAGGACCAAAUAGGAGACAGGAGUUGCAAGCAUGUGUAAGAAAGGAGGCCAAAAGAAUACACUUGCAACAAGGUAAAGAAGUUAUUAGUAAUAAAAAUAUUUGUAGAAAUGUGUAGUACAUUACACUGUAUGACUGAAACUAUGUAAGUAUUAAUAAAUUUUAAUUAUGUUAACGUAAUUUUUGGAACUGCCAAAGGUGCCUUACUUCGUUCAACUCAGUUUGUGCCUCUAUGCAGAGCUGAAGGGAAUUGAAUGUACCUGCAGAACUGAAAGACUUGACUAGAGUUCUGGGAGCGAGUGACCUAGAUAUUAGUUUGGUUAUACAGUUUGGCACAAAAGCUUGGCAUGAGCCAUUUUUGUCACAAGGCCCUGUAUGAAAGGAUAUUAACCAAUUUGUUGGACCUGCCCUUCAUCAAAUAUGGGCAUUAAUUUUGUGGCAGUAGGCAUAUGAUCUUUCUUGGUAAUUUUUGAAGUCUUAAAUAAAUAUAUUUGCCGUUUAUUAAAAUAAUUAUACAUUAUAUACUACACUUCCGGAACUAUUAGAAGAAGUGCCUCUUGACUCUAGAAUGGAUAUGUGGCUACAGCACAUAAUGCCCAAAUAGUAACGAGGUAUUUGAACCGAGAAUAUCCCAAUAGAUGGUUUGGUACUAAUGGACCGAUGCCAAGUGAGAUUUUGGCGAAACGUCUGCAGGAUUCCAGUCGGAUGCAAGAUUUGCAGGAUUCCAGUCGGAUGCAGGAUUCCAGUCGGAGUUCAACGAGCGAACGGAUGAUAUCC